rnacentral:lncRNA from 1 species
CUGCAUAUCAAUAUCCAUGGACCACUGGAUAUUUGGUUAGUUCUAAGGUACAUUAUUUCAGCCCAGUAUCCUUCAAUUUAAACUGAUUAUGGUUUGUUUUACUUGCGUUUUCAUUCAAACAGCAGCACUUUUUCCACUUUCUUUGAGUCCGACUUGAAGGGCGUGUUCGGUUACUUCAAUGCAUACACUCCAUAUAUAGAUAUCUACGUAAAUCUGCCCUGCCUCUUAGUUUGGUACCCCGAGCUUCAAAACUCACUGUGGGUGAAUGUCAUUGUGCUCCUCGCUCUUCACUUACUUUGCUGAAGGAUCUGCUUAAGAGACUGAUGAACACACUCUUGUUCUCAUCCACUGAUGAAACCCUAUUCACUGGAAAGCAUAAUUCAGUAAUCUGCUCUUGAAGAGCUGCACACGGUCGUCUGCUGUGACACAGCU